AGAAGUUCCAACCCUAACUGAAGUAAAAGCAGUAAUCAAGAAGUUGAAAAAUGGAAAGGCCCCUGGUAUGUAUGGACUAGAUGCAGAGAUAUAUAAAUAUGGUGGUGAUCAUCUUUGUCCAAAUUUGACGGAUGUGAUUCAGAGGGUUUGGCAAAGUGAAGAUGUUCUUCCGGAUUGGCGUGAUGCAACUAUGGAGAUACUAUAUAAAUCUAAAGGUGGAAAGUAUGUCUGUGAUAAUUAUCGCAGCAUCUGUCUGUUAGCUGUUGCUGGAAAAGUCCUCUGUGGGGUAAUACUGGAUAGGUUGAUUCUGCACAUUGCAGAUGAGGUUCUACCAGAAUCGAAAUGUGGGCUUAGGGAUAGCAGGAGUACUAUGGAUAUGAUAUAUUCGGCUAGACAGUUACAAGAGAAGUGCAUCGGAAGUAUAUGCAUUUAUACCAGGUUUUCAUUGACCUAACAAAGGUUUUUGAUUCUAUCAAUAGAAUUGCACUUUGGGAGAUCUUACAAAAGCUAUGAUGUCCUGAAAAAUUGGUGAGAAUGCUUAGACAAUUUCAUGGCAAGAUGAAAGUGAGAGUUAAUGGUGAAGGUACAUUAUCAGAUCCAAUUCCUGUAAAAAAUUGGGUAAAGCAAGGUGAUAUUCACGCUCCUACACUGUUUCCUGUAUAUUUCGCAAUAGUCUUUCAAAUAGCUAUUAAAGAUUUCCUGCAGGGGGCUAUAUAAGAUAUAGGACAACAGGAAAACUGUUCAAUCGCAAAAAGACUCAGUGCCAAAACGAAAGUUCUGCUUUCUCACCUUGUUGAGUUUCUGUAUGCAGAUGAUUGUGACCUGUUGGCACAUUCUCAGAAAGAUAUGUAGCACAUGGUGAAUGCGAUUUCUGCAGCAUGUGCAGCAAUGGGUCUAACAAUCAAUCUAAAAAAACUGUUAUGAUGCACUAGCCUGCUCCCUCCAAGAUGAAUGUGGAAUUUUUUAUAACUGUGAAUGGUCAAAAGUUGGAGACAGUACUUAGAUUUAUUUAUGUAGGAAGUAACUUGAGCACUGUGUGGUCUUGAUGACGAAUUUCAUACAGGAUCAGCAGGGCUAGUAGUACUUUUGGUAGGCUUGAUAGGGGUCUGUGGAAACAACAUAAUAUAUCUUGACAAAUUAAAGUUAAAGUAUAUUACACGUGUCCUUUCAUCUUUGCUAUAUGGAAAUGAGGCAUGGAAAGAUUUCAUCAAUGCUGUCUGAGAUGAAAUUUGGGGAUAAACUGGAAAAUGGCCAUUAGUAAGGUGGAAGUGCUUGAGAGGAGUGGUUGUAGAAGUAUAGAGUCAAUGAUUUUGCAAAGACUUUGAGGUGGGAGAACAUUAGGUAAGGAUGAGUGCUGAGCGACUUCCCAAGCAGCUAUUGUAUGGUGAGCUGGAAGAUCGCUGGAGACUAGCAAAUAAGCCUUAACUAGGGUUUAAGGAUUGCCUUAAAAAUGCUCUAAUACAGACAGGAAUUGCAGAUGGUAAUUGGCAGACAGAGGCACCAGAUCGUGAUGGAUGGAGGAAGAUAGUGCAUGAUGAUUCUUCAAGGUUUGAGAGGGAGAGAGUGAAAUAUGAGGCAAAUCGGAGGGGGCUUAGAAGAGCGAACCUGUGUAAAGUGAGAGAGUACUUCUUAUGUGUGUGGUUUGUGAGCGGCGAUGUUUGAGUCGUGCAGGCCUUGUGAGCCAUAGAAAUUCUCACAGAAAUUAACUCUUGAUAAACAAUGAUGUGGCGAUUAAAAUUCACAACAGAACAUGUGUAAAAUGUGGAAAGGUGUGCCUCUCAGUUGGAGGUCUAAAAAGACAUCUUAAGAGAGUUCAUAUGGUGGCACCCAUUUCUCACGCCAGCCAGUACGUUUGUCUAGUAUGUAAUAAAAUGUGUAAAAGCUUGGCCAGGCUUAAACAUCAUAUAAGGACAUCACAUGACAACAAUCAGGAACCAUUUCAAUAAGUCUUCUUGGCAAUGGGUUUUCUCGUGUAACAAGGAUUCAGCUGCGAUAUGUGUGUGUGCGAGUAUAUACACACACACACGCACACACACACACACACAUAUAUAUAUAUAUAUAUAUAUAUAUAUAUAUAUAUAUAUAUAUAUAUGUAUAGAUGUAUAUAUGUAUAUAUUUAUAUAUGUAUAUAUAGAUGUAUAUCUGUAUAUAUAUGUAUAUAUGUAUAUAUAUAUUUAUAUAUAUAUAUAUGUAUACAUAUGUAUAUAUAUAUAUGUAUAUAUAUGCAUAUAUAUAUUAUAUGUAUUACGCGUAUAUAUAUAAAUAUAUAUAUAUAUAUAUAUAUAUGCAUAUAUAUAUCUUGUAUAUAUAUAUAUAUAUAUAUAUAUAUAUAUAUAUAUAUAUAUAUAUAUGUAUAUGUAUAUGUACUUCCGUUUUGUUUGUAGAAAGAUAUGCUUUUUGUGCCCCUGGAACAACCAAGAGGGAUUUCCUUAAUUUACGAAAUAUCUACUAAAGCUUACAAAAAAAAAAUGAAAAACGUAGUACUUGUUAUUUCAUAAUGGUCUAAUAUAAUAUAUUGGUAAAAAAAAAUUAUAUAUUACACUAACGGUUUAAUAUAUUACAUUAAAAUCAGUGACGCGGGCUAGAGUUAUCUUCGAUGAAAAUACGAGGUGAUAGAUCGUCCGUUCAUUGGCGGCCGUGUGUAAAGGGUAAUCGAUUUUUCUUUCAAACAAAACUUCUUCCUACAAAGACAAGGGAUGAAAUUUACCAGUUGGGAAUAAGUAUCCUAUUAAUUUUGUUUAUUUUGUUUUAUCUUUGGUAGUACCGCAUGGAAAUUUGAUCUAAAGCGUAGUAUUUGUUUACUUUCCCUUUGAAAAUUUACGCUAGGAAAUUCAUUACGAAACUUCUCCUUUUUAUCACUACCAUUUUUCAUUUAUAUUUUCGUACAGCGACCUCUUCGUUUACAUUCUAUUUCAAAAUUUCACGGUAACAAAUUCGUUACGGACCCUCUUUCUUUUAACUAUCGUUUUUCAUUUUAUCUUUCUUCUUACAGCGGCCCUCUUACCGUAUAUUCUGUUCUACUCUACGCCUGAAAUUUUGGGGGAGAGAUAGUUAAUUUAUCGACCCCAAACGGAUGAAAUGUGAAGUCUAUCUCGGUGGAUUUUGAACUCAGAACAUAAAAAAAAAACAGACGAAUUACCGCAAAGCAUUUCGCCCUGUGUAUUAACAUUUCAGCCAGUACGCACGAACGCACACAAUUACGAGGGUGAGUGGAAAAUUUCAUGGGCUGAAUAUGAAGGAUUGGUGGUAGAAACCGUGAAAAUUUGACAUCGUGGAACCAAAAACAUUCAAGCUGACAUGGCGGAUACAUUAGAGGAUGACGCCCCAGCUUUAUAAACAGAGCAAAAAUGGGCCGCUGAAUUUAGGAGGGGAAGUGCGAAUUUGGAAUAUGUCGAAGUAUUUCGCUCAGUAUCGACCGUGUCUUCUUACACCUGAUCUAAAACGCACAAAGUUUAUCACAUCACGACAAAAUCUGACAUUGUGUGAGGCAGAUCCAGCUGGCUUCCUUGAACGUUUCCUCUCACAAGAUGUGUGUUGGUUUCAUUACUUUCAGCUAGAGAAAAAUAUUCAUUUUACGCUGUAAAAGCAUCCCUUCUCACCUCCAAAGAAGGCCAAGGUUGUUUCAUUUGCAGGGAAGGUGAUGGCGUAAGUCUUGGGGGGAUACAGAAGGCUUUCUAUUUAUUGACUACCUUCAAAUGGGCCACGCUUACAAUGUAGAGUACUACUCCAUCCUUUUUAUCCUCAUUAUUGGUGCCAUCUGUUCGUCAUCAGUUGCCCAGCACGAUAUAGACUGAUCUGGGAACCAGUAUCGCAGUGAUAAUAGCAUCACAACUGCUGUUGAUGAUAUUUCGAGCAACAAGAUGAAAACUUGUUUGCGAAUCGGAUCAAAACACCGGAAUACCGAAGGAAGAAUUGAUUGGACCGCAUCAGCCCAUGCACUUUUCAAUCAACCCAAACGAGGAAAUCAAAUAAAGAAUUUCAGACCAAUACCAGUUGAUUAAUUUCAGGUAAGCAUAAAAUAUUUCGUUUUGCAAUCAUGUAUACAUAAACUGCUAUGUAUAUUAACAGUUAAUAUGUCAAUUAUUGUGUCUUACUUUUGUGUUAGUAGUGCCAUAUUCUCAUUUUUUAAGCUAAGCUCUAUAGAAUUUCUAAAGAAGUCAGAACCAGAAUUGCAUAUUUCGAAAUUCCGUUUACGAAGUCAUCUAUAUAAACAAGGAGAUCUGACAUAGAAAUGAUAGGUAAUAGGUGCUUAUACAUAUUUCAUGAGUUAUUGCUUGUUCCUCAGAAUCACAUCCAAAGGCAAUUUAAAGACACAAUAUUGAUAUGAAAUCUUUUAAUAUAUUUGCUAGCAUAUCAUGGUGGCAAAACAAAAUACUGUCUCCUACGAAUAUAUGCGUAGCAGUUGCUAAGAAUGCGUCUAAUAUGUAAACAGGUGUAUCCAGUUGUGUUAAAACCGCUAUGCUUAGUGGAUAUUUAAGGGAUGUGUUCGGAGAUAGUUGAGUGGUUGGAUGUGGAACCAAUGAAAGAGCAAUAAAUCUUGGAAUAUACAGUACAUCUAUUACCUAUUCCUUUCUGUAUCCGAUCGCUUUGUUUGCAUAGACAUAUUCGUAUACGUUGUAAUCUAAGGUGAUCAUUGAAUUCCAAAGAAAAUUUAUAGGGAUAAAAUUUAUGCAUAUGCGUGCGUGCGUGUGUGUAUAUCAAAUUUCCAAGAUGUGGGAGAAUCAGGUAUUUAAAUAGUGUAAACCGAAAGGUCAGUUCGGUGAUAGCGCUAUUGUGUAGAAACAAGGUAUACGGCAAAUACGUACUCAGUAAAUUAAACAUUGACUAGUUAUGCGUACAUUCACAAGUGGCUGACUGAAUAGACAGCGUGUCGUCAAGAUCACACACGUGUACACUUACUGUACCUAUUGCAUCGCCGUCUAGAGACUCCAGAUCCAAGUUAAUUGAGGUUUCCAAGUUAAUUGAAGAAUAAUCAACAAAAGAUGUAUUGUGGUUCACUGCAGCUGUUUUAGACGUGUUUUUAUUUUAUGAACAGAAGAGUUCUAUCAUCCAAAACUUAAACCGUUUUCAUCAAGCGAAUACAGGUAAGAAUUAUGAAUUAAAACUUCUCAAGAACAAGUAUAUGGUGUGAGAUUCUUCUUCUUCUCAUCCCCCUCAUUCUUCUUCUUCUUCUUCUUCUUCUUCUUCUUCUUCUUCUUCUUCUUCUUCUUCUUCUUCUUCUUUGUCUUCUUCUUCUUCUUCUUCUUCUUCUUCUUCUUCUUCUUCUUCUUCUUCUUCUUCUUCUUCUUCGCUGCCUUGAGACAUUUGUGCGGCACAUCGGGCAGUCACUGAUCGGCAAUUAUCUCCGUCUCUGACCAACUGGCAUGCUUCUUCCCAGCGGAUGUUCAGACUGCGUAGGUCUUCUUUGAAAGUACUUCGCCAUGUCUUUCUUGUGUGACCUCUUGUGUAGAAAACAACAAUACUGUCAACAGCGAUGUAUACCUUCCGGCGGCAUCAAACACAUGGCUGUUUUGUCAGGCCUCUUCUCUGGCAGUCUUAGUAGGGUUAAAAUUGCAAUGAGAGGCCUUCUUUUUGCUGCUUGGAGAUUGACUUCAUUUAUCUCUCUAUCUCGAUAGGUGAUUUUUAGGACCUUCAUGAGGCACCGCUCACGAUAUACACCGAGUAGACGGGCGAUUUUUAGAGUCAGCAUCCAUAUUUCUGCUGUAUACAUCGCUGCUGGCAGUAUUGUUGUUUUCUACACAAGAAUCGUGAGCUCUAUACUUAUGUUAUUGCUACAACACAUAUUUGUCAGACUUCUAAAUACUGCCGCUGCGUUGCCAAUUCUGCAGCUUGCAUCUGCGUCUGCAUCACUGCUGCUUGUCACUAUGCUUCUCAGAUAUGUGAAGCUUCUAACCUCAUCAACUGCUUUCUAUCCAAACUUCACCGGAAAACUUUCUUUUUGUUUAACAACUUGCAUUACCUCCGUGUUUGACUGGUGAUUCUCAGACAAGUCUUUGUCGAUCGCCUCUGUAUUUUUGUAGUCAUUUAAUGUAAUGUUGGGUGAUUCUCUGCCAACAUGGCAAUAUUAUCGGCAGACCUUUUAGCCGGUCCCUCACAGUCCAUGGCAUGCCACAGGACACUACAGACACACACUCGGUCAUCUGUUGGUGUUUGUAUAUAUAUAUAUAUAUAUAUAUACCGAAAGAAUUAGAAAUAGCAGUCAGUGACUGUUUAUUUCCAUUUUCUACAAGUGGGGGCUCCAUAUACGACACAACCCUGCAAUUCACAUACGCAAAAGGUCAUAUUUACAUACUGAAAUCUACCGGUAAGUAAUUGUUGGUUAUCUGAAAAACCAUCGAAAAAAUUAUUUACCCUUAUUAUUAUAUAUAUGUGUGUGUGUGUGUGUGUGUGACCGCGUGUGACAUCUUUUUCGCGAUUUUUUCCUCCGUCUUCCAUUCUCUGGAUCUUUCCUUUUCCCAUGUCUCUCACGAAGAGCUCCGUACGAAACGUAAUACCCUCCUUCUUCCUUUCCUUCCUGACCGUCCAAUAGUACUAUAUUUGUUACACGUCCCCGCGUUGUUGUGUUGACUCUUUGUGUUUUCAUGUUUGGAUUAACUUUAUAUAUAUAUAUAUAUAUAUAUAUAUAUAUAUAUAUAUAUAUAUAUAUAUAUAUAUAUAUAUACAUAGGGGGAGAUUUCACAAAAACAAACAAAAGAAGAAGACAGGUGGUGUAGACAACAAAAAGAUGUAUUAGUUUAACGCUCAGGAAGUGAAAAUGUCUUUAACGUUUCAAGCCGACGCUCUUCCACAGAAAGGAACACAGAAAGAAAUAAGGAGAGAGAAUAAAGAAUAUGUAGUGGCCAGCGAACUAUCAUGUCGAAUGCCGAGAAUAUAUAUAUAUAUAUAUAUAUAUAUAUAUAUAUAUAUAUAUAUAUAUAUAUAUAUGCAUACAUAUAUGCAUACAUACACAUAUUUUCCUUUCUUCACACUUGUGUUUCUUUCCCUUCGUUGUAGCUGGAAGAACGAAGACGUGUUCUUGUUUGUCUCCAGUCGAAUCUUGAUUUACGCGUUCUCCAGCACAAACUCGUUUAGGCUUACCAGGCCCUCCACUUUCUUUUCAAUCUCCUGUUUGUGUUAUCAGUUUUGACCCUCCGCAAAAUCCUAAAUUUCAUUGAAUUUCCUUUGCGGGAGCAACUAUUUUAUCGAAAGCGUAUAUUGUUGUUAAAUGCUCGAAAUACGAGACUAGGAAAAAACAGCCAAGAACUGAUGAAGGAUUGUUCUUUAUGUUGUUUGUUUUAUUUCCCAAUUAGUGACUUUCGUUGUUCGAAAGUACAGUUCAUGUUCCAUGUGCUUGGGCUUCGUAUUUCUUGUUGUACACGUUUCGUGACGUGCUGUUCCCACAUAUGCAUAUAUACAUAUACCUUUAGAUGUAAAUAUGUAAAUAUACGUAUGUAUAUCUGCACGCAUACACACACACAUACACACACACAAACACACACACAUAUAUAUAUUAAAUAUGUGGAGACGCAAUGGCCCAGUGGUUAGGGCAGCGGACUCGCGGUCGUAGGAUCGCGGUUUCGAUUCCCAGACCGGGCGUUGUGAGUGUUUAUUGAGCGAAAACACCUAAAAGCUCCACGAGGCUCCAGCAGGGGAUGGUGGUAAUCCCUUCUGUACUCUUUCACCACAACUUUCUCUCACUCUUACUUCCUGUUUCUGUUGUGCCUGUAUUUCAAAGGGCCGGCCUUAUCACUCUCUGUGUCACGCUGAAUAUCCCCGAGAACUACGUUAAGGGUACACGUGUCUGUGGAGUGCUCAGCCACUUACACGGAACCGACGGAGUGCUUCCAUUCCAUAUUAAAUAUAUCAUUUACAUCAGUAUAUGAUUGAACGCCGAGCAUCCUCUUCCAUGUAAGUUUUAUCUUAAUAAUUCUGAUGCACACUCCAUACGCUCUUAUUCCUCUUUCGGUUUUCUCUCUUGGUCUCCCUUGUUCUUUUACCGCCUUUUCUCCCACUAUUCUAUCGCAUUACUCUCUCACGCUCUCUCCUUCACUCCUCCUCCCUUAUAGUUGUAUGUACAUAUACGUAUGUAUAUAUGCAUAUAUAUAUAUAUAUAUAUAUAUAUAUAUAUAUAUAUAUAUAUAUAUAUAUAUAUAUUAUAUAAAAGGGCUUAGUAAAAUAAAUUACUUUGCCGCAUACUGAACUCAUUAGAAAUAGCAGCUAAAAAAACUUUUUUAAAACUAUUUCCAAUACUUAAAGAAAAUCUCUCUCAUAUAGUGUUUGCUCAAUUCAACUCACGAAAGUAUGAGGGUAGAAACAUUAAAAAAAUCAAAUGCAAAGGUUAUUUGAGAACGUACGUUUCAAGAUUAGUCAAACUCGACACUUCUAUCAUCAGCUCAGAACUCCCUGGUUUGGAUUUGAAAACACUGAAAGUAGGAGCAUACCUUUUCGGCUUCCCAUCGCCUCUGAAGAUCUACUCGAAACUAACAGUGUCAGCAAAUUCAAAUAUGCAAGCGAAGAAUUUCUGCUCUUCCCCUUCCACCAGCGUGGGCUAAAAUCAGCAAACAACAUGCUUUUUUUCGGUAAAAUCCGAGGCAUUAAAUAGAGAGAGAUGAAUUAUAAUUUCAACAAUUGAGGGUAAAAUUAAUUAAUUAAUCAAUUUCACCAAGUAUUCAGUAUGCAAAGGGACCAUUUAAGGCAGAAUUCAAAUUAUUACAUUAUAUAAAAGGGCUUAGUAAAAUAAAUUACUUUGCCGCAUACUGAACUCAUUAGAAAUAGCAGCUAAAAAAACUUUUUUAAAACUAUUUCCAAUACUUAAAGAAAAUCUCUCUCAUAUAGUGUUUGCUCAAUUCAACUCACGAAAGUAUGAGGGUAGAAACAUUAAAAAAUCAAAUGCAAAGGUUAUUUGAGAACGUACGUUUCAAGAUUAGUCAAACUCGACACUUCUAUCAUCAGCUCAGAACUCCCUGGUUUGGAUUUGAAAACACUGAAAGUAGGAGCAUACCUUUUCGGCUUCCCAUCGCCUCUGAAGAUCUACUCGAAACUAACAGUGUCAGCAAAUUCAAAUAUGCAAGCGAAGAAUUUCUGCUUUUCCCCUUCCACCAGCGUGGGCUAAAAUCAGCAAACAACAUGCUUUUUUUUCGGUAAAAUCCGAGGCAUUAAAUAGAGAGAGAUGAAUUAUAAUUUCAACAAUUGAGGGUAAAAUUAAUUAAUUAAUCAAUUUCACCAAGUAUUCAGUAUGCAAAGGGACCAUUUAAGGCGAAUUCAAAUUAUUACAUUAUAUAAAAGGGCUUAGUAAAAUAAAUUACUUUGCCGCAUACUGAACUCAUUAGAAAUAGCAGCUAAAAAAACUUUUUUAAAACUAUUUCCAAUACUUAAAGAAAAUCUCUCUCAUAUAGUGUUUGCUCAAUUCAACUCACGAAAGUAUGAGGGUAGAAACAUUAAAAAAUCAAAUGCAAUGGUUAUUUGAGAACGUACGUUUCAAGAUUAGUCAAACUCGACACUUAUCAUCAGCUCAGAACUCCUGGUUUGGAUUUGAAAACACUGAAGGUAGGAGCAUACCUUUUCGGCUUCUUUAAGUAUUUUCUUUAAGAUUUUCUUUAAGUAUUGGAAAUAGUUUUAAAAAGUUUUUUUAGCUGCUAUUUCUAAUGAGUUCAGUAUGCGGCAAAGUAAUUUAUUUUACUAAGCCCUUUUAUAUAACGUAAUAAUUUGAAUUCGCCUUAAAUGGUCCCUUUGCAUACUGAAUACUUGGUGAAAUUGAUUAAUUAAUUAAUUUUACCCUCAAUUGUUGAAAUUAUAAUUCAUCUCUCUCUAUUUAAUGCCUCAGAUUUUACCGAAAAAAAGCAUGUUGUUUGCUGAUUUUAACCCACGCUGGUGGAAGGGGAAGAGCAGAAAUUCUUCGCUUGCAUAUUUGAAUUUGCUGGCACUGUUAGUUUCGAGUAGAUCUUCAGAGGCGAUGGGAAGCCGAAAAGGUAUGCUCCUACUUUCAGUGUUUUCAAAUCCAAACCAGGGAGUUCUGAGCUGAUGAUAGAAGUGUCGAGUUUGACUAAUCUUGAAACGUACGUUCUCAAAUAACCUUUGCAUUUGAUUUUUUAAUGUUUCUACCCUCAUACUUUCGUGAGUUGAAUUGAGCAAACACUAUAUGAGAGAGAUUUUCUUUAAGUAUUGGAAAUAGUUUUAAAAAAGUUUUUUUAGCUGCUAUUUCUAAUGAGUUCAGUAUGCGGCAAAGUAAUUUAUUUUACUAAGCCCUUUUAUAUAAUGUAAUAAUUUGAAUUCGCCUUAAAUGGUCCCUUUGCAUACUGAAUACUUGGUGAAAUUGAUUAAUUAAUUAAUUUUACCCUCAAUUGUUGAAAUUAUAUAUAUAUAUAUAUAUAUAUAUAUAUAUAUAUAUACAGGGUGUCUAUAAAGUCUGUUUACAAUUAAAAAAAAUCAUUACAAAUGCAGUCGAUGAGAUAUUUUAACCAGAUUCGUUUUAUUUUAAUAAUUGUUUAUUAGGGUUUUAUUGAUAUUAAUGUUAUGUGUUUCAGAUACUCUGUUGAUUCAAGGGAACUGAUCCACUGAACUCCUAUAAAAUGAGGGUGAAGCAUUCUUCAAGCGAGUUUGUUUCAGUGAAGAGGUGACUUUCAUGUAUCAGGGGAAUUAGACACAAUUAUAUAUAUAUAUAUAUAUGUUAUAUUACUUAUGCUAUUAUACCUAUAUACAUAUAUGUGUGUUUAUAUGUAUAUGUAUAAAAAACAAAAUUAUUAUUAAAAACUUCACGAUUUGUAUUGUAUGGUUAAAAAAUAUAUUACAAUAAUGUUAAGAAAAUGAUAUAAAAUUUUGUGUAUAGUCACAUUGUUUUUGGAGAAAUAACCGGUUUUGUUUUUACUUUUCAAAUUUCUCAAAUUUCUUUACCGAUGAUAUGUCAUCUAUUCGUUAUUGUGUGAAGUAGAUUUCGAAACAGGGGAGGUAAUCGGUGAUGUUUUCUGUAUAAGGGAGAUAUUAAAAAAUGUUGGGAAUGAUUAGGUUUUGUUAAUUUGAUGAGUUUUGGUUUUGAUAGAAUAAAACGUUAUAAAUGGUUAACCUUUGGUUUAUAUUUUUCAAUGAGGUAAGUUCCUUUAUUUAAAAAUGCAAGAAAGGUUAAUUUUUGGCUAAUAUUUUUCAAUGAAGUAAGUUUCCUUACUUAAUCUAACUUCUGUUGGUGUUCCAAUAGCACAUUGAUAAAAUGGAAAGAUUUCAAAUUGUUGUAGUAGUCAUUUUGCUCAUGUGUCAAUAAAGUGUAUCAUUCUGUAUUUUGUAAAUGCAAUCUGCUGUCGGUGCAGAGUACAUCUUCAUCCCUUGGACACAUUGUAAUUCUGUUUGCAGCCCGAGCAUCUUAUGUCAUAAAUCAGGUUUUGAAGUUUUGUCCCUCUUUACAAAGGAAUUCUGAUCCUUCUAGAAGGAUAAGUAAUGAUGCGUAAUUUGCUCGACCACAUUUUUUCACUUUUGCGUCCGUUAUUUUAGAAAAUAAUUUUGCGUUUGUAAGGAUCUUAUUUAGUGAUUUCGGUUGUAUGUGGCUUUUAAUGAGCUCUUGUGUGUGUAAAAUUUCCUUUAAUUUCGGGUCGUUAUGUAGCAUUGGUAGAUUUUGGGUGAUGAUGUCGUAGGCUUCUUUGUCUCUGGGGUUGUAAGUGGAUGUGUACGGCAGUAUUUUCGUGAAGGUGUGUUGCUAUGCUGUACUUUUAAAUGUUUUAUGUCGAUUUGUGUUGCACGUCUAAUUCCAUUCUCUAUGCGUUGGACUCGUUAGUGUCUUUCAGUGAGAGUGUUUUGGAGUUCUUGCAGUCUAAAGUCUCUGGUAUUUUUUCUGACACUAUGGUGCGUAUCCUUCCUGCAAGGUUGCAUAGAAUGUAUGUUUUUGGUGUGGAUUGGGUGGCGGUAAUUAAAUAGUAGAUAUUGUUUGGCGUCUGUGGUUUUGUAAAAUAUGUGCGUUACUAUUUUUAGGUAUAUUUGUUUAACUAAUAUAUCCAAGAACGGGAGCUUCUCUUGGUUGUAUUCCAUUGUAAAUUGUAUGUGGGGGCUGACGCUGUUCAAUAGUCUUUUAAAAUCCAGGUGUUUGUGUUUUCAUUCUAGAGAAUGAAACGUCCAGGAUUCUUUUCCAGUUCCCUUUUAUGUAUUCGGAAAGAGGGUUUCUAAAGGUAGAUAAAGAUUCUUGGUAUAUUCUUAUUUACAGAGAGCCCAUUGUUAGCUUCGCAAUUAUCCUAACCCUAACACUAGUACACAUGCCAAUUAUUGAUCUUUGUCGAUAAAAUGUGUUAUCAGGCGUGAAAUGAUUGUUUCAUAGGACGAAUUCAAUUGGUUCAAUUAUGAACCCAUUGCUAAUCCUUUCAGGUAUUACUUCAGGAUAUUAAUCCAGCCAGAACUUAAUUGCCUCUAGUCAAUAAUUAUGAGGUAUACUGGUAUAUGAAUUAAUUACAUCAAAUGAAACCAUGAGUGUUUCUUCUUUGUUUAUUUUGGGAGGUGAUUUAAAACGUCCAAGUCAUCUCUGAAUUAACUAUUGAUGUGUUUCAGGAGGACUUUCAGUGGGGUGUUCAUAAAUAGACUUACAUUGUGUUUUUCAAAAUGGGUCACAAUUAUAGGUCCCCUGGGUCUGUUGUAUGUAUGUCUUUGGUGACCUUUUAAUGGUUUCUUUUAUAAUAUUUUUGUGGAUUUUUGGUAGACAGUAAAAUAGACUAGGUUUGAAUUUAAAGUUUAUUAAAUAAUCAAAUUCUUUGGUUGUCAAUUCUUUUCCAUGAGUAUUCAUUAGUGAGGAUAAGUUUGUCAUUAUUCUUUGGUGGGUGCGUUUGUGAUAUUUUCGUAAUAUUUACUUUCUUUAAGCAUGUUAACAAAUUCAAAAUCCAAUCAGAUUUAUGCUUAGCCUGCAACCAGAAUUACAUAGGAUCUACAGGAUUAAUGCUCAGAUGCAGACGCACUGAGCACCGAUAGCAGAUUGAAUUCCCAAAAUACAGAAUGACACCCUUUAUUGAACACAUUGAUACAUGCGCACAAAGACUCCUACGACAAUAUGCAAUCAUUCCAGUUAAUCAAUGUGCUAUUAGAAAACAACAGAAAUUAGAUUAAAUAAGGAAACCUACUUCAUUGAAAAAUAUAAGCCAAAAAUUAACCAAUUCUAGUAUUUUAAAAUGAGAAAACUUACCUGUAAUAUAUUUCAUUCUAUGUUGUAUUUUUAUACAUCCAACCAGGUGCUUUUACAUGCCAACUCUCUCACAUACCUACGUAUAAAUAUCGACAUAUAUAUAUAUAUAUAUAUAUAUAUAUAUAUAUAUAUAUAUAUAUAUAUAUAUAUAUAUAUAAUAUACAUUUAUAUAUAUAUAAUAUACAUUUAUAUAUAUAUAUAAUAUACAUUUAUAUAUAUAUAAUAUAUACAUUUAUAUACAUAUAUAAUAUAUAUAUAUACAUAUAUAUAAUAUAUAUAUAUACAUAUAUAUAAUAUAUAUAUAUAUAUAUAUAUAUAUAUAUAUAUAUAUAUAUAUAUAUAUAUAUAUAUAUAUAUAUAUAUAUAUAUAUAUAUAUAUAUAUAUAUAUAUAUAUAUAUAUAUAUAUAUAUAUAUAUAUAUAUAUAUAUAUAUAUAUAUAUAUAUAUAUAUAUAUAUAUAUAUAUAUAUAUAUAUAUAUAUAUAUAUAUAUAUAUAUAUAUAUAUAUAUAUAAUAUAUAUAUUAAUAUGUAUAAUAUAUAUAUAUAUAUAUAUAUAUAUGUAUAUAUAUUUAUAUAUAUAUAUAUAUAUAUAUAUAUAUAUGUAUGUAUAUGUAUAUAAAUGUACAUAUUGUAUAUGUAUGCAUAUACACACACAUAUAUAUUAUAAAAUAAGUUCCGGAAGAAUAUAUAAAAUACGUGCAUAUGUCUGUUGCAUAUAUUUGUCGAGUGAAAACAAUGCAAGUCAUGUAGAAUUAAUAAUGCAGCGCAUUGGCUAGGAUAAUUGCCUGUUCUUUCAAUAUUUCAUUAAAUUUACUAAGAAAAAGUUCUCGACAUAUGGUGCCUUCGUUCUCUAGAGAUUGUAAAUAAAUGGUUGCUCUGCGUUGCUAUAGUAGUCAUUAAGCAACUUGCAAUUUAUACCUGAUAUUAAUUCGCAGGUUGUAGUCAUUAAUUAAAAUAGUUUCUCUAAUUUAGAAGUUCCACAUGUGACUUUCGAAAGAUUCAGCAGAAAAUUGUAUAUCAUAGGUGUGGCAUUUACGUAGGUGGGUUUUAAUAUUUUUGACAGAAACAUUACCAGUGAAGUUUUCGCUAACCUUUAUGUGAAUUACACUGAUGUUAAGCCGGCAUAGAAUUCAUUACAAUUGAUACACCCGAUUUUGAACACCACGUAGUGCUGCAGAUAUGUAUUUCCAUCUCCGAUCGGGCAGUUGGAUAAUGUACAUGAGGUAAAAAUUAUAUAUGCAAAUAAUCAUACAUAUAUAUAUAUGAAAUACUGAACGAACAGUUCCAAAGUGUGUUCACUACACCUCUAGGACACAGGCUAGUAAACAACCCAGAAGAAUUCUUUGCCACUUUACCAGCGGCCAAAGAGACAAAAAUUGAGUACAUCAACAUCGAAGAAGAUGAUAUCACACUAGCCAUUGAUGAGAUUGACACAAACUCAGCUGCUGGACCUGAUGGAUUCCCAGCGAUCCUUCUCAAAUCGUGCAAACGAGCCCUUGCAAAACCGCUACAGCUUCUUUUUCAGAGCUUUCUUGCAAGUGGUAAGCUCCCAGUCAAACUGAAAGAGGGGGUAAUAUGCCCUAUCCAUAAGGGAGGUAGCAGAGCAGAUGCUAAAAAUUAUAGGCCUAUCUCUCUGACCUCACACAUCAGCAAAGUCAUGGAACGAAUAGUCCGUAAGAAACUAAUCAUGUUCCUUGAAGAAAAUGACUUACUGUCUGACACCCAGCAUGGAUUUCGACCAGGUAGAGGCUGCCUGACACAGCUCCUGCAACACUAUGACUGGGUGUUGAAACAGCUACUAAAUGGCUCAAAUGUGGAUGUAAUAUAUCUUGACUUUGCAAAAGCCUUUGAUAAAGUCGACCAUGGUAUGAUCUGUCACAAACUGCGUGGUCGCGGCAUAGGCGGGAAACUUGGAGAGUGGCUGCACAACUUCCUAAAAGACAGAAAACAGGCAGUUCUGAGCAAUGGAGCCACCUCCAGGGAAACGCAAAUAACAAGCGGUGUCCCACAGGGCACUGUCUUGGGGCCACUGAUGUUCAUAGUGGCCCUUUCAGACAUGCCUUCAGUUGCUACGAUGACCACCCUUGCUAGCUAUGCAGAUGACACAAAAGUCUCCCACGCAAUACAAAACCCUGAAAAUAUUGCGCAUCUGCAACAUGAGCUGGACACAAUAUACAGGUGGGCUGAGGACAACAACAUGCAGUUUAAUGCAGGUAAGUUCCAGGCCCUGCGCUACUGGCACACAAAGGUAAAUGACGUGAAGACUGGAUACACUGGCCCAGGAAGAAUUGCAAUCCCUGAGUCAAAAUCAGUGCGUGACCUGGGCAUUGACAUGAGCAAUGAUGCAUCUUUCCAAAUGCAUAUUGCUAAUCUGGUGAUAAAAUGCAGACGGCUAGCUGGAUGGAUUCUCCGAACUUUCAGAACAAGAGAGAAGGAGACACUGAUGGUCCUAUAGAAAACAUUUGUCCUCAGCCGCUUGAACUACUGCUCCCAACUUUGGUCACCACACAAUAUAAAACAAACAGCAAAACUCGAAGCAACUCAGAGAAGCUACACAAAGAAAAUCGUCUCAAUGCAAAAUGUCAGCUACUGGGAAAGACUGAAGGUAUUAAACCUCUUCUCCCUGGAGCGGAGGCGGGAGAGAUAUGCAGUGAUAUACAUCUGGAAAAUCCUGGAGGGUCUUGUCCCAAACUUUGGCAUUCAAAGUUACUCCAACCGCAGAACGGGGCGCCGCUGCGUGGUGCCAAGGAUUCCAACAUCACCAUCAAAAUACAGGUCCAGAUACUGCAACAGCUUGGGUUUCAGAGGACCACAGCUCUUUAACAUCCUCCCUAAAUGCCUCAGAGACUUACAUGGUGUGGAUGUGGGUUUCUUUAAAACUAAACUGGAUCUCUUCUUGUUGGGAGUCCCAGAUGAACCUACCUCACGACAGGAGACACGGAUGCGGGCAGCAGCAUCGAACUCCCUUGUUGAUCAAGUGCCACGUAUCAGAGGUGGAUUCACAAACUAGUGUAGCUCAUUCAGCGGUGGUGCCCCAGCAUGGCCGCGGCCUUCGGGCUAAAACAUUUUUAAGGAUUUAAGGAUUUAAGGAUUUAUAUAUAUAUAUAUAUAUAUAUAUAUAUAUAUAUAUAUAUAUAUAUAUAUAUAUAUAUACAAGCUGAACACUAGGGUGGAUGUGAUCGACUUCUCCUCCCCUCAACAUAUCUGGCCUUGUACCAAAAAUAGGAAAGAAUUAAUGGUUGCAGUUGUUGUAGUAUUUUUUCAUAGCGACAGUAGUUGCAAGAUAACGUAGAAAAUGAUGAUGGUGAUGACGAUGUCGACGAUGAUGACGACGACGAUGACGACGACGAUGAUCAUGAUGACGAUCAUGAUGAUAGUGAUGACGUCAAUGGUUAUGAAGAUGAUGAUGACGAUGAUCAUGAUGAUGACGAUGAUCAUUAUCAUGAAUAUUAUCGUGUCGUUGAGGAUGCGGAGGAAAUAUGCCUUCAGAAGCAGAAGAUAAAAUUUAGCUGGAUAGGACUGACGGUGAUGAUUAUCAUAACGAAGAGAAAAAUUCAGAGUGGCGUAAGAAAAUGAAGUAUAGAUUUAUGACCAUGAUGGCACUAGUAGUUAUUGUCAAGCUGGUUACGCUUUUGGUAGCGAGGGCGGUAUUUGUGAAUGAACGAGGGGGUUAGAAGAAUCGUUAUGGCGGAGUUUCUUUCUUCCAGCUCGUUAGGUUCCGAAUUCAAAUCUCGCUGAAGUUAUCUUUGUCUUUUAUCACUCGUUAGUCGAGAAUGGAAGGUGCGAUUCAAGUACAGCGUGGCACAGAGAGGACGGACGUUCUUGAAAAAUUCACAAAGUCAUUAAUUUUAGCUGCAAACAGAUUUUAUUGAUAUCAAUGUGUUCAUAUUGAAUUAUCAUUUGUCAAAAUUAAGUGUGGAAAAGAGCAUCCAUCAUGUGAUUUCCGUUUUCAUUAAUGAAUAUAUGAUGGCGUUCUUGGAAGCUGGCCUCCACUCUCACCAGCAUUGCUCUUUGCAUAGUGCCAUGGUUUCAACUGUUGUCCAAUGACCAAUUUAUACGAAUGGAAGUGCAAGUCUGCGUGCAAAAUAUGUCUUACCGAUCAAUUACCGAUGCUAAGUUCAGUGGAAUGCCUCCUAGCAGAGGGAUUAGGACUCCGUAUCAACGCUUGUCUGAUGCGUUCCACAUUAAGCCGGGGUCCGUACUGUUCAUGGCAAACUUCCACUGGUCGCCUGUUCAUUAGUGUACCUCGUGCACGAAGUAGAUUCACCCAAAAUAAGAUUGUGUUAGGGUUCGAACAGCCUGAUUUCGUUGAAAUUUGAAGUGGUGCCGAAACCCAGUCUGAAAUGUUGUGAUAGAAUCACUAUUCUUCACGUAACUGUCGAAGGCAAACACACAAUGCUCUGACGUCCACAGCAGCAUGGCUUCACCUAAAAAAAGCCAAGACACCACGGACUUAAUGGUAUUUGUUGGAUGUAUGCCAUUCUACUGAGUAAUAUUUAUUUCAAAAACCUCCGUUCACUCUACGCCACCCUGUACCAGGGUCGAUUUAAUCAGCCAAUCAUCUUCCUCACAAUUUAGGUUGUGCGCCUAUAUUAGAGAAGACGAAUAUCGUGAUAGGGAUGACGAUGGUUACUGAGAGUGGUCCAAUAUCACAAAUUUCUCAAGACAUUUUCAGUGAUUGACCAUUUAGCCCAAUAUUUGCUAGUGGGAUUCGAGCUCCCUCCAACAAAUUUUAGAAUAGCAUCUACCCCAUAUGUUACAAGCUCAACCAAUCUACGUAUUUCAGCAAAAAUUUCAGGCCUUGUGCCUAUAGUAGAAAUGAUUCGCCUUCUUUUGGCUGGGAGGGGCAGUGAAUUUUUAUUUGUCUAGUGGCUGUAGCGAAAGAGGUAGUAUGGUGGACCCGUUUGAUAGGGCUAAAGACAGACCCUUUCCGCUUUGGCCAAGCCCUCAUCAACUAUUUCAAGUUUCACUUGAAAAGGAAGUUGAGGGUGGAGAGGACAGUAAUGCCUUCUGGCAAGUUUGUUGAAAGGUGGAUGUGCUGGAAGACUGACCAGUGCGAAAAGACCAAUUCUGAGCGUGCACCUGUAAAAAAAACGAUUUUAAGAUAGGUUAUACGUUUUUGAUUUGAUAUUUAAUUUUUAAAUUGUAUUUCAUAAAUAUAUUCUAUAGAUAUUUAUAAUAUUUAUGUAAGUAAUAAUGGACUAAUAUAUUUAUUUUUCGUUAUAUGUUUGUAUAUUUAUUGAUAGAGAAAAUUUUAGAUUUUUAAUUAUUAUAUUUGUUGAUUAUAAUUUAGAUACUUAUUUUUAUAUAUUUAUUAUUUUAUAAUUAUUAGAUGUGAACUUAAAUCUAAAAAUAUUCAUAGUGAUUAUUUUGUUAAAUAAUUUGAUAAUUAAAUAUUGGAGUAUAACUGAGUUAAAGAUAUUCGAUAGUUUAUUAUGUAUUUUUAAAGCCAAAUUUUAUCUUCAAAGAUAAAUACAUAUCUAUGUAUUUUUUACAUUAAAAAUUAAAUAUUUAACAUAAUAAAUGUGUUGUAGGAAAUAAUCCUAAUGUUUUAAGUUUCUAAUUUAGUUAAUGGAGGUUUUCUAUAAGAAAAAUUAUUAUUUUAUUUAUUUUCACAUAAAUAUUGUUUAACUCUAUUUGCUUAUUUAUUUAACAAUUAUCUGUAACCUGAUGAUUAACUAUAAUUUUAAAUCGAAUGUAUUUCAAUUGAAUUUAAACUUAAUUGUAAUUCGAAUUUAAUUGUAACCGUGAAACAUACGUAGUUUUUUUACUUAUUAUAUAUUGAUCAUUCAUUUUUAUACUUUUUGAGAUCUAGUGAUAAGUUAUACGUUUUAUAAAAAUAUACAUUAUUUGUUAUUUACGUUUUGGAUUAUUUCUAUCACUCUUUGAGUUGCAUAAUAGUGGUUUUAUCUCUAAUUUCUAUUAUAUAUAUAUAUAUAUAUAUAUAUAUAUAUAUAUAUAUAUAUAUAUAUAUAUAUAAUAUAUAUAUAUAUAUUUAUAUAUACAAUUUUGAUUUAUUUAUAGAUAGGCGGAG
rnacentral:lncRNA from 1 species